AACAACUUUUGUUUCCAACAAUGGACAACACCACCACCAAUCACCAGCCUCAGCCCACGGCAUACCCAACGCAAUCCAUCACGACCACUCCACCACUACCUUCAGCAGGUGGAGCACCAUCCUCAACCCCAUUCCACCACCUCCUCCAACAACAACAGCAACAACUUCAAAUGUUUUGGUCUUACCAACGUCAAGAAAUUGAACAAGUUAAUGAUUUCAAGAACCAUCAACUCCCUUUAG
rnacentral:lncRNA from 1 species